GAUGAACGCUGGCGGCGUGCCUAAUACAUGCAAGUCGAGCGAACAGACGAGGAGCUUGCUCCUCUGACGUUAGCGGCGGACGGGUGAGUAACACGUGGAUAACCUACCUAUAAGACUGGGAUAACUUCGGGAAACCGGAGCUAAUACCGGAUAAUAUAUUGAACCGCAUGGUUCAAUAGUGAAAGACGGUUUUGCUGUCACUUAUAGAUGGAUCCGCGCCGCAUUAGCUAGUUGGUAAGGUAACGGCUUACCAAGGCAACGAUGCGUAGCCGACCUGAGAGGGUGAGCGGCAACACUGGAACUGAAACACGGUCCAGACUCCUACGGGAGGCAGCAGUAGGGAAUCUUCCGCAAUGGGCGAAAGCCUGACGGAGCAACGCCGCGUGAGUGAUGAAGGUCUUCGGAUCGUAAAACUCUGUUAUUAGGGAAGAACAAAUGUGUAAGUAACUAUGCACGUCUUGACGGUACCUAAUGAAAAAGCAACGGCUAACUACGUG
rnacentral:rRNA from 1 species